GUCUAUGGCCAUACAACCCUGAAUGCAUCCGAUCUCAUCUGAUCUAGGAAGCUAAGCAGAAUGGGGCCUGAGUUUGAGUCCUAGAAU
rnacentral:rRNA from 1 species